UGCAAAGAUCAGUGACCAUUGGUAAAGGGUUACCCCAAGGCACCUGGCAGGGAGGAAGCUCAGGAAAUAAAUACUCUCACCUGACUCUCUUUCCAAUCUCCUACCCAGUGGGCUCCUAGCUAAUGGAAGCCAGCAGUAAAUCAGAGGACCCAGCAAGCCUGUCAUAUGCUGGUGGCUUCCUGGGGGCACUGAGGGGGUUCGAGCAGGGUGAAUAAUGGAGGUGGAGGCACAAACAGCGGGAUCCUAUGCAGAAAAUAACUGGCAUGAUUUCAAAGGGCUGAAAUGUACUGCCAUUUGGCUAUAUUCUGGCCAAUGGAGUCAAAGUCAAAGUGGAAGAAAAUGGCCCUGCUUUUCUGAUUGCUAUAAGACAGAUGUCACGGCUAGAUCUCCAGCAGCUAUCUUGAGUCAUGAGUGAUCAUUUUCUCUGUUACUCAGAAGUGAAGUUCUCACUUAUCCACAAUGGCAGCAAAGAAGAGAAAAAGAAGAAUGACAUUCAGAGUAGUUUGAAGAAAAGAAGACAACCAAGGAAAUGACGCGACAAUUGGCAUAUAAAAAAUUCAGCAUUAUCAGAAAUACGGAGUAAGAAAUAAAUGCAAGAAUAUAAUCCUCUGUGAAAUUCCAGAAAUGUGGGACAGGAUUGAGACUGGCCACAAAAGGUAGACUGGAGACUUAAGCUAUUUAUUUGCAUAUGAAUAAAGGGAAAUUCCCCUGGACCACUUAGGGAUUAGACCAUUAUCCUAAGUGAAGUAACUCAGGAAUGGAAAACCAAGCAUCCUACGUUCCCACUUAUAAAUGGGAGCCAAGCUAUGAGGAUGCAAAGGCGUAAGAAUGAUACAAUGGAAUUUGGGGAUUCUGGGGAAAGCGUGGGAGGGGAGUGAGGGGUAAAAGACUACACACUGGGUUCAGGGUACACUGCUGGGGUGAUGGGUGCACCAAAAUAUUAGAAAUCACUACUAAAGACCUUACUCAGGUAACCAAACACCACCUAUUCCCCAACAACCUAUUGAAAUUUUAAAAAAGGAAUAUUAGGGAGCUAUAAAAAAUAUGCUUUCAAAGAGCAUUUAAUGAGAUGGAAAAAGUAUUAUAAAAUCAGAUACAAAAAUUGCAUAUACAGAAUAAUCUCAAUUACAUAUAAAAAUAUACUCAUAGGAAAAUAGAAAUGUGUCUAAAUAUCAAUAGUAUAGUAUUCUUGGGCAGCAGAAUCAAAGGUGACUGUUUUCUCCCUUAUAUAUUUCCAUGUUUUUCAAAUUAAAAUAUACAGUCAUUGAUUAAAAAAAUACUGAAUCAGACAAAUCAAAAUCAAGGACUGGGCUAUAAAACAAGUGGCACACACUCCUCAAAAAUAUCAAUGUCAUGAAAGAAAAGGGAGCUAGGAUAUUAUUCCAUAGUAAAGAUUCAAAAGACAUGACAACUAAAAAAACAAAAAAUACAUGUUUUAGUUCCAGACUUCUGAAGAUAAUCUCUAAAGCCAAAGGAGCCUUGUACACAAAUCAUCAGAGAAGAUUACUUUCCUGGAAAGGGGAAAGAAGGAUGUUUAUUGCCCUUUAUCUUAUUGCAUAAAAAAAUCUAUCUUGUAAAUUCAAAUAUGUCUUAUAAUAAUAAAAAAGCCAAAUCUCUCCUUAGAAGAAUUGUCCUAAUGUGCACCCUGAGCUGGUCUUCACUUACUGAUUUUUUCAUCACCACUCCAAGUGGUAACAUCAAGGAUGGUGUUUUCUAUCUCCACAAGUGAAAUUAAGCAUUUCUUCCUUUGUACAUGAUAUUUGUGUGGUAGGAGUUCAUAUAAGAGAAGGAAAUGGGACAAGGUAUAUUAGUUAACACGAUGUCUUGCUGCUUAACCAGACAUUUCUCAGUAGCUUAGCAUGAUUUACUGGAAAUCUAUAUGGGGGUCCAUCCUAGUUUAAUGGAGUGUUUAUAGUGGAAACUUCCACUCUGGGACUCAGGGGCCUAGGUUGUUUCCAUUUUAUGAGUAUGUCAUCCCUAAGGCCUUCAGAAUUCUUUGCCAUGUUCUCAGAAGCUGGCCAGGAGAUGGGGGAAGAAAAGAUCAUGCGCAGAGAGACUUCAUGGCGCCAGCCUUGGAGUGGCAGAUCCUUCCAUUUGAUAUUUCAUUGGCUAUAACUCAGUCACAUGACCCAACCUAAGUGGCCACAAGGAAGGAUGGGAUAUGUAGUCUAGCUGUUCAUCCAGAAAGAAAAAUAAAUGGCUUUUGUAAACAUCUGGCUAGUCUCUGCCAAAAUGUGCACGCCAUUAGCUGCAACACAGCUUCUUUCUUCUUAGACAUAUAUAUUUAAUAACUUUUUACAAAAUGCCUUCAAUUUCUGGAAUAAAAGACAUGUUUGUAGUCAAAUCCAAUAACUAAAAAUGUUCCACCAGCAGCCAUACUGUGUAAUCAUAGCUGUUUUGAAUACUUCCUGCCUCCGCUCACCUCUUUUAAUACUGACUGCACUCAGAUUUUGAAAGAUGUAUUUAAUAAAAGGACAUCUGGCUCUUUCUAAUAACUAAAUUAUCAAAAUUUUAUGCAUGUAUGUCAUACCCUUGUGUGUUUACUUUGAAAUAGGUUCAAGUGAAGUUCAUUUGGACAGAAAAUGGACAGAAAAGCCAUAAUGACUUUAUGCAUUAAUUAGCCUGGUCUAAUGGUGAUAGCAUUGAAUGAAUCAGCAGUCCUGCUUAUAAUCCCUUUAUGGCCCAGCUUGGCCACCGGCUGUAGUUUUGAAAACUCAGGGCUCAUUUUCUCUAGCUAUCAUACAGAAAUGAUCCCAGGUUAUUACAAUUCUCUAAGCUCUAAAAUGUGACAAACUCCAAUGCUGCUGAAGAUCUGCAGUGACUCAAGAGUGGAGGAGUGGAAGCAUAAAAUGUUACCCCAGGAGCUGGUGUUUCAAAAGGCUAGACUCAUACCUACAACUAAAAUGGUGUUUCAACCCUUGAAUUGUCUGGUUAAAAAGGCUUGAUGUCAGUGCUCAGGAAUCUGCAUUUUUAAAUGCUUUGAAGUCAGUUCUACCUGUCCCACAGGAGAAUGAUGAAUCUAUGUUUGCUCCAAAAUGGAGUAUGUGCAUGCACUUAUGCAUAAGAUCAUUCACUGGACUAGAAUAAGAGAAGAAAAAAUGGAAACCACUAUGUAUUUUCAAUUUUUAUGUAAAAAUCAGAAUGAAAUUAAACUCAGCUAAUAUUUAAUAUAAUGCUUGAUGCUGUCAUGUCUACUCAGUUCCCUCUAACAUAAUGGAGAGAAUUAUCCUGAGGGAAAAGUGGGAGUCCCACAGCUGAGAAGGGACCCAGUUAAGUGGAUUAAUGGAUUAUACUAUGUGCUUCUUAUUAAGGCAAUUCUUACAAAAAUGGGAAGAAGUCUUUAAAAGAUUCUUCCAAGAAACUGGGGGUUGAACAUAAACUCAUAUAUAUAUAUAUAUAUGAUGUGUGUAUAUAUAUAUGAUGUGUAUAUAUAUAUAUAUGAUGUGUGUGUAUAUAUAUAUAUACACACACACACAAGUGAUCAAUCAUAAAAUGACAGAUUUGACUUCUGUUUUUGAUAGCCACAAUGGAGGAAGGAGAGAGGAGAGUAGUGAUCUAAUCAGCAGACUGUAGUAUGUUACCUAGCAAGUAUUUGGGGAAAAAAAUAAAGGUUCUUUUUUCACUUCUUUAAUGUAGGAAGACUUUUUUUAAUGAGUGAAGAAGUAAUUGCAUUUCUAAAUAAAUCUGGGCUAUGGGAAGAUCAUUCUGAAAAUAGACGUUUGGAGAAGUUUCCAUUACUACAUGAUUCUCAUGCAGAAAGCAAGUCAUGUGUGCAAUGUAUAAAAUCUCUAAAAAAAAUUACUCUGUGUAAAGGUUAAUUUUACAUGCCAAAUUGCCUGAGUUAAAGAGAUGCCUAGAUAACUAGAAAGCAUUAUUUCUGGGUGUGUACGUGAGGGUGUUUCUGGAAGAAAU
rnacentral:lncRNA from 1 species